GUAAGGAAUAUUGGUCAAUGGACGCAAGUCUGAACCAGCCAUGCCGCGUGAAGGAUGAAGGUCCUCUGGAUUGUAAACUUCUUUUAUCUGGGACGAAAACGGGAUUUUUAUCUCAAUUGACGGUACCAGAGGAAUAAGCACCGGCUAACUCCGUGCCAGCAGCCGCGGUAAUACGGAGGGUGCGAGCGUUAUCCGGAUUUACUGGGUUUAAAGGGUGCGUAGGUGGGCUUAUAAGUCAGUGGUGAAAUCUCCGAGCUUAACUUGGAAACUGCCGUUGAUACUAUAGGUCUUGAAUUAUCUGGAGGUAAGCGGAAUAUGUCAUGUAGCGGUGAAAUGCUUAGAUAUGACAUAGAACACCAAUUGCGAAGGCAGCUUACUACAUAUAAAUUGACGCUGAGGCACGAAAGCGUGGGGA
rnacentral:rRNA from 1 species